AUGAACGCUGGCGGCGUGCCUAAUCCCUGCCAGUCGAGCGAACGGACGAGAAGCUUGCUUCUCUGAUGUUAGCGGCGGACGGGUGAGUAACACGUGGAUAACCUACCUAUAAGACUGGGAUAACUUCGGGAAACCGUAGCUAAUACCGGAUAAUAUUUUGAACCGCAUGGUUCAAAAGUGAAAGACGGUCUUGCUGUCACUUAUAGAUGGAUCCGCGCUGCAUUAGCUAGUUGGUAAGGUAACGGCUUACCAAGGCAACGAUGCAUAGCCGACCUGAGAGGGUGAUCGGCCACACUGGAACUGAGACACGGUCCAGACUCCUACGGGAGGCAGCAGUAGGGAAUCUUCCGCAAUGAGCGAAAGCCUGACGGAGCAACGCCGCGUGAGUGAUGAAGGUCUUCGGAUCGUAAAACUCUGUUAUUAGGGAAGAACAUAUGUGUAAGUAACUGUGCACAUCUUGACGGUACCUAAUCAGAAAGCCACGGCUAACUACGUG
rnacentral:rRNA from 1 species